rnacentral:tRNA from 2 species
AAAGAUUUAGUUAAAUUAAAUAACAUUAGAAUGUCAUACUAAAAUUAUCAAAAGAUAAUCUUUA